UACGAAGGGGGCUAGCGUUGCUUGGAAUCACUGGGCGUAAAGCGCACGUAGGCGGGUCUCUAAGUCAGGGGUGAAAUCCUGGAGCUCAACUCCAGAACUGCCUUUGAUACUGGGGAUCUUGAGUUCGGGAGAGGUGAGUGGAACUGCGAGUGUAGAGGUGAAAUUCGUAGAUAUUCGCAAGAACACCAGUGGCGAAGGCGGCUCACUGGCCCGAUACUGACGCUGAGGCACGAAAGCGUGGGGAGCAACAGG
rnacentral:rRNA from 1 species